GACGAACGCUGGCGGCGUGCUUAACACAUGCAAGUCGAACGGUAAGGCCCUUCGGGGUACACGAGUGGCGAACGGGUGAGUAACACGUGGGUGAUCUGCCCUGCACUUCGGGAUAAGCCUGGGAAACUGGGUCUAAUACCGGAUAGGACCACUGCCUGCAUGGGUGGUGGUGGAAAGCUUUUGCGGUGUGGGACGGGCCCGCGGCCUAUCAGCUUGUUGGUGGGGUGAUGGCCUACCAAGGCGACGACGGGUAGCCGGCCUGAGAGGGUGACCGGCAAGACUGGGACUGAGCUACGGCCCAGACUCCUACGGGAGGCAGCAGUGGGGAAUAUUGCACAAUGGGCGCAAGCCUGAUGCAGCGACGCCGCGUGAGGGAUGACGGCCUUCGGGUUGCAAACCUCUUUCAGCAUCGACGAAGCGAAAGUGACGGUAGGUGCAGAAGAAGGACCGGCCAACUACGUGCCAGCCGCCGCGGUAA
rnacentral:rRNA from 1 species